CAGUGGGGAAUUUUGGACAAUGGGCGCAAGCCUGAUCCAGCAAUGCCGCGUGCAGGANGAAGGCCUUCGNGUUGUAAACUGCUUUUGUACGGAGCGAAAAGGCUUNCUCUAAUACUGGGGGCUCAUGACGGUACCGUAAGAAUAAGCACCGGCUAACUACGUGCCAGCAGCCGCGGUAAUACGUAGGGUGCGAGCGUUAAUCGGAAUUACUGGGCGUAAAGCGUGCGCAGGCGGUCUUGUAAGACAGGUGUGAAAUCCCCGGGCUUAACCUGGGAACUGCACUUGUGACUGCAAGGCUGGAGUACGGCAGAGGGGGAUGGAAUUCCGCGUGUAGCAGUGAAAUGCGUAGAUAUGCGGAGGAACACCGAUGGCGAAGGCAAUCCCCUGGGCCUGUACUGACGCUCAUGCACGAAAUGCGUGGGGAGCAAACAGGAUUAGAUACCCCUGGUAGUCCACGCCCUAAAGCGAUGUCAACUGGUUGUUGG
rnacentral:rRNA from 1 species